rnacentral:rRNA from 1 species
GGACUACUGGGGUUUCUAAUCCUGUUUGCUCCCCACGCUUUCGCGCCUCAGCGUCAGUAUCGGGCCAGUGUGUCGCCUUCGCCACUGGUGUUCUUCCGAAUAUCUACGAAUUUCACCUCUACACUCGGAGUUCCACACACCUCUCCCGAACUCUAGGUGCCCAGUAUCAAAGGCAGUUCCAGGGUUGAGCCCUGGGAUUUAACCUCUGACUUAAACACCCGCCUACGCGCCCUUUACGCCCAGUAAUUCCGAGCAACGCUAGCCCCCUUCGUAUUACCGCGGCGGCUGGCAC